GGUAAUAGUAUGUUUAAUGGAUGGGAUCUCAUCAUCUCGGCGGUACAGGGUGGGAUUCCGGUCAUAAUCAGAUGCGAACGAGCCCACAAUAUGAUUUGCAUAUUACGUAUGAAAAGCUACAGAUUAAAGAAUCUCAGACCAUGAGUCAAGAUAUGUGAAAAUUUACAGGCCAACCAGAUCUGAUCCAAUGGCAUCUUGCCACGUCGUGAAGGAGACUGGAGGAAAUAUUAGGUACACAACAGGAGCAGGUCCCCCAUAGCUGAGAUCUUCGUAGUUUUAGAGGCAGCAUUCAUUGUGUGCGAGGUA
rnacentral:lncRNA from 1 species